AACAACAUAAGGGUAUACCAAACCAUGCUGCUAAGCAAUCGGUAUGGGCCCUGGUUCCAGCAAAGUGAUCCUUGCUAUUUAAUCUAUUCUCUUUUCUAAACCCUACAUUAGUAGUAUUCCAGUCCCAGAUACUUAGUCAGAUCUUCAAAAUCCUUUUUGCAAUUUAGUUCUAGUAGAAUUCAAGGCUAUCACAAGAUCAAGUCUCUUCAAAACAUUUUGC
rnacentral:lncRNA from 1 species